AGUUAUGUGGUUUAAUUUAAAUAUCGAAAGUUUUAGGGCGGUGGUGUCAAUCCUGAGAGGAUGAUGCCUAUGAUUUAUGAGACUUCGAAAGGUACAUUGAAAUGUCUGUAUUUGAGGCACUAAUGCUAAUGUUUGAUUUUGCAACCUUGGUAUUAGAAGUGGACCAUAA
rnacentral:sRNA from 1 species